CCUACGGGUGGCUGCAGUGGGGAAUAUUGGACAAUGGGCGCAAGCCUGAUCCAGCCAUGCCGCGUGAGUGAUGAAGGUCUUCGGAUCGUAAAGCUCUGUGGGAAGGGAAGAAAAAAGUAUACCUCAUACGUAUGCUCUUGACGGUACCUUCUUAGCAAGCACCGGCUAACUCUGUGCCAGCAGCCGCGGUAAUACAGAGGGUGCAAACGUUGCUCGGAAUUAUUGGGAGGCGAGCGCAUAAAGGCGGUCUGAAAGCCCUCGGCUUAACCGAGGAAGGGCAUUCGAAACUGCCAGGCUUGAGUAUGGAAGAGGGUCUCGGAAUUCCCGGUGUAGAGGUGAAAUUCGUAGAUAUCGGGAGGAACACCAGUGGCGAAGGCGGAGACCUGGGCCAAUACUGACGCUGAGGUGCGAAAGCGUGGGGAGCAAACAGGAUUAGAUACCCGUGUAGUC
rnacentral:rRNA from 1 species